UACGGAGGGUGCGAGCGUUGUCCGGAUUUAUUGGGUUUAAAGGGUGCGUAGGUGGCUGUUUAAGUCAGUGGUGAAAUACGGUUGCUCAACAAUCGAGGUGCCAUUGAUACUGAAUAGCUUGAAAUAAUUGGAGGCUGCCGGAAUGGAUGGUGUAGCGGUGAAAUGCAUAGAUAUCAUCCAGAACACCGAUUGCGAAGGCAGGUGGCUACGAUUGGUUUGACACUGAGGCACGAAAGCAUGGGGAGCAAACAGG
rnacentral:rRNA from 2 species